UAAUCUGUUGUAAUCUCAGUUGUUGAUUAUGAGAUAAUCUUAAUUAAACAAGUAAGCUACAAAAACUCAUCUUAUUCUAAUCGAA
ensembl:ncRNA F43C9.6 ncRNA